rfam:Sphaerulina musiva SO2202 unplaced genomic scaffold SEPMTscaffold_1, whole genome shotgun sequence.
GCUGUUGUGGCCGAGUGGUCUAAGGCGGUAGAUUUAAGUCAGUCUUUGGGACUCCCAUUCGUGGGAAUCCCCCAAGAUAUUUGCGUAAACUCUACUGGAGAGAUCCGCGCGAGUUCGAACCUCGUCGACAGCA